rnacentral:tRNA from 1 species
UGGGGAGAAAAGCUAGGUCUUUUGCUUUGGGAGCAGAGGGUCGCUGGUUCGAAUCCAGUCUCCCCGACCA